GGGCCCGCACAAGCGGUGGAGCAUGUGGUUUAAUUCGAUGAUACGCGAGGAACCUUACCAGGGCUUAAAUGUAAGUUGCAUUAGUUAGAGAUAGCUAUUUCUUCGGACCACUUACAAGGUGCUGCAUGGUUGUCGUCAGCUCGUGCCGUGAGGUGUCAGGUUAAGUCCUAUAACGAGCGCAACCCCUGUUGUUAGUUGCCAGCGAGUCAUGUCGGGAACUCUAACAAGACUGCCGGUGCAAACCGUGAGGAAGGUGGGGAUGACGUCAAAUCAUCACGGCCCUUACGUCCUGGGCUACACACGUGCUACAAUGGUCGGUACAGAGAGCAGCCACUACGCGAGUAGGAGCGAAUCUAUUAAAACCGGUCUCAGUUCGGAUCGGAGUCUGCAACUCGACUCCGUGAAGCUGGAAUC
rnacentral:rRNA from 1 species